rnacentral:rRNA from 1 species
GAUGAACGCUGGCGGUGUGCCUAAUACAUGCAAGUCGAGCGACCGCACAGUAAGCGUUUGUUCUUAAUGUUAGCGGCGGGCGGGCGGGUGACGAGUGGAUAACAAUCUUCUUUUACGGGGGGGAUUACGUGAAACAGCUGACGCUACUAGCGCAUACUUUCUACGGCUGGGAGCAAAAGAGCUUGACGGUUUUGGCGUCUGUUAUAGCUGGUUCCGGGUUGCAUUAGCUAGUUGGUAAGGUAACGGCUUACCAAGGCGACGAUGCAUAGCUGAUCUGAGAGGAUGAUCAGCCACACUGGAACUGAGACACGGUCCAGACUCCUACGGGAGGCAGCAGUGGGGAAUAUUGGACAAUGGGCGCAAGCCUGACCCAGCAACACCGCGUGAGUGAAGAAGGUCUUCGGGUCGUAAAGCUCUGUUGUUGGGAAAGAACAGCAGCAUGUUAAUAUGCCGAUGUCUUGACGGUACCUAAAGAAUAAGCACCGGCUAACUACGUG